rnacentral:rRNA from 1 species
AGAGUUUGAUCCUGGCUCAGAUUGAACGCUGGCGGCAUGCUUUACACAUGCAAGUCGAACGGCAGCGCGGGGCAACCUGGCGGCGAGUGGCGAACGGGUGAGUAAUAUAUCGGAACGUACCCAAGAGUGGGGGAUAACGUAGCGAAAGUUACGCUAAUACCGCAUACGAUCCAAGGAUGAAAGUGGGGGAUUCGCAAGAACCUCAUGCUCCUGGAGCGGCCGAUAUCUGAUUAGCUAGUUGGUAGGGUAAAGGCCUACCAAGGCUACGAUCAGUAGCUGGUCUGAGAGGACGACCAGCCACACUGGAACUGAGACACGGUCCAGACUCCUACGGGAGGCAGCAGUGGGGAAUUUUGGACAAUGGGCGCAAGCCUGAUCCAGCAGUGCCGCGUGAGUGAAGAAGGCCUUCGGGUUGUAAAGCUCUUUUGUCAGGGAAGAAACGGUGGGGGCUAAUAUCCUUCACUAAUGACGGUACCUGAAGAAUAAGCACCGGCUAACUACGUGCCAGCAGCCGCGGUAAUACGUAGGGUGCAAGCGUUAAUCGGAAUUACUGGGCGUAAAGCGUGCGCAGGCGGUUUUGUAAGUCUGUCGUGAAAGCCCCGGGCUCAACCUGGGAAUUGCGAUGGAGACUGCAAGGCUUGAAUCUGGCAGAGGGGGGUAGAAUUCCACGUGUAGCAGUGAAAUGCGUAGAGAUGUGGAGGAACACCGAUGGCGAAGGCAGCCCCCUGGGUCAAGAUUGACGCUCAUGCACGAAAGCGUGGGGAGCAAACAGGAUUAGAUACCCUGGUAGUCCACGCCCUAAACGAUGUCUACUAGUUGUCGGGUUUUAAUUAACUUGGUAACGCAGCUACGCGUGAAGUAGACCGGCUGGGGGAGUACGGUCGCAGAUUAAAACUCAAUGAAUUGACGG